rfam:Frankia sp. EAN1pec, complete genome.
GGGAGCCGGAUAAGUCGAGAGGUUCAUGUCCGGUUCUGCGAGCGGCGGCGGGUGAGAUUCCCGCCGCCGACUCUCC